GUUAAAGUGAAGCAAUGCCUUAUGGGAAUUUCGAGACUGAAUCGAGUGGACCGUCUGCGUGACUGUUGGAAGUUGGAGACUGUAAAUUGGAAGUUGACUGAGAUUAAGCUAGCAAAAAAAUUAACCGAGGCAUGAAGCGACACAAGGGGGGAGCGGAGAAAAGAGAGAGAAAUCUCGGAGAGCACUAUUGGCUGGCGGUGAAAAAUGCUGCAAAACGACUGGUCCGUUUUUAAAAUCAAGUGCAGCUUCAGCUCGCACCAGCGCUAAUAACGUUACUGCUAGCACUAAUGUUAGCGACAAGCUGAGCCAGCACAGUAUGGAGAAAGACAGGACCGUGAGGAAUAUCAGCAAGAGGAGGAUGAAGAGGUAGACAUGGAUAACUGCGUGAAGUGAGUUUCCCUCUGUCUCCGGAAUAUCUCGGUGUCAGACACAAGGUGAGACUACAAGAGCUACGGGGUUUACGAUCCAUCCUGAAUCCAAUCCGACGCUUUUCUCAAGAAGCCGGCCUUGAGAAUGGUCCGGCAGUGUCUCAUCACAAAGACAAAGCCCCUCACAAGGAGCGGUCAGGGCAUUAAUCUAACCACUGUGGACAGAAGGUGACUCUGACAUCUGUGAUGCAGCCUGCUGAAUGUCCUUGGAGAGUCUAUCUCAGUUGCAUAAAGACGCGCAGCAAAAAAGUAACUCUCUGCUGAGAUGUACCCGGACACUCAGCGGGACCGUUGGCGCCACCAGAGUAUUACAAGUUUCAUAUGGAAAACAGUAGGACCCCCCACACGGGAACAAUCACAAAGCUGAAGCAAACACAUACUCGGCCCCUCUGCAGAGUCUGGAUUCGUGCAUCGCAUCCUCCAGACGUCCUGCUGAGAUCUCCGACCCGCUCAUCUAGGGCUCUGAAUUCCACUCGCCACACGGAGGAGCCAUGGUGAGAGCACAGACGCUGCUGAAACAAGAAACGAGGGACCACACGAACACCCACAUAAUGUACAUACAAACACUGGAGGUGAGAAGUUGUGGGGGUAAAAGUUAAAACUGCUAUUGUAGACCAAAGUAACUGUAUGUUACAUUUUUGCAGUAAUAAAUCAUAGAUUGCAUUA